rnacentral:rRNA from 1 species
CCUACGGGAGGCAGCAGUGGGGAAUAUUGCACAAUGGGCGAAAGCCUGAUGCAGCGACGCCGCGUGAGGGAUGACGGCCUUCGGGUUGUAAACCUCUUUCAGCAGGGAAGAAGCGAAAGUGACGGUACCUGCAGAAGAAGCGCCGGCUAACUACGUGCCAGCAGCCGCGGUAAUACGUAGGGCGCAAGCGUUGUCCGGAAUUAUUGGGCGUAAAGAGCUCGUAGGCGGCUUGUCACGUCGGGUGUGAAAGCCCGGGGCUUAACCCCGGGUCUGCAUUCGAUACGGGCUAGCUAGAGUGUGGUAGGGGAGAUCGGAAUUCCUGGUGUAGCGGUGAAAUGCGCAGAUAUCAGGAGGAACACCGGUGGCGAAGGCGGAUCUCUGGGCCAUUACUGACGCUGAGGAGCGAAAGCGUGGGGAGCGAACAGGAUUAGAUACCCUGGUAGUCCACGCCGUAAACGGUGGGAACUAGGUGUUGGCGACAUUCCACGUCGUCGGUGCCGCAGCUAACGCAUUAAGUUCCCCGCCUGGGGAGGUACGGCCGCGACGACGUAAACGUUAAAGUAAGUUAGACGGCGUGAGACGUGCCGAACGACGACGACGAGGGAGGUAGG